UACAGAGGGGGCAAGCGUUGUUCGGAAUUACUGGGCGUAAAGGGCGCGUAGGCGGCCUGCUAAGUCGAACGUGAAAUCCCCGAGCUCAACUCGGGAACUGCGUCCGAUACUGGCAGGCUUGAAUCCGGGAGAGGGAUGCGGAAUUCCAGGUGUAGCGGUGAAAUGCGUAGAUAUCUGGAGGAACACCGGUGGCGAAGGCGGCAUCCUGGACCGGCAUUGACGCUGAGGCGCGGAAAGC
rnacentral:rRNA from 1 species